UACGUAGGGGGGCAAAGCGUUGGUCCCGGAUUUAUUGGGCGUAAAGAGCGUGUAGGCGGCCAUACGGGUCAGCUGUGAAAAACCUCGAGGCUCAACCUCGAGACGUCGGUUGAAACCGUAUGGCGUAGAGUCCGGAAGAGGAGAGUGGAAUUCCCGGUGUAGCGGUGAAAUGCGCAGAUAUCAGGAGGAACACCGAGUGGCGAAGGCAGGUCUCUGGGCCGAUAACUGACGC
rnacentral:rRNA from 1 species